rnacentral:tRNA from 1 species
CCCUGGGUGGUGCAAACAGUUAACGCAUUCAGUUGAUAACUGAAAGGUUAGAGGUUCAACUCCCCCCCAGGGG